CAUACGAGUUUACCAAUUUGGGCAAUUUGGGCAACUAUUCCUUUCUGUUUAACCAGUUCAAUCCCUUUUUUCUCUUUCUCUCUCCUCAACCUCAAAAACCCUAACUACGUUACCAAUCUCUUCCCUUCUCAAAACCACCUCUGCACCCAUCAAUUAACUCUUUUUUUUUCUCUCUUUUAACCUAAUUUGAGCUCUCAUUAUCCUGAAUUUUCAACCAUGGAUGCUCAGAGAGCUCUUCUCGAUGAAUUAAUGGGCGCAGCUCGAAAUCUGACUGAUGAAGAGAAGAAAGGUUAUAGAGAGAUAAAGUGGGAUGAUAAGGAAGUUUGUGCGCCGUAUAUGAUUCGAUUUUGCCCUCACGAUCUCUUCGUCAAUACUCGAAGUGAUCUUGGACCAUGUCCAAGAGUUCAUGACCAAAAGCUGAAAGAGAGCUUUGAGAACUCUCCAAGGCAUGACUCAUAUGUCCCACGUUUUGAAGCAGAGCUUGCCCAAUUUUGUGAGAAGCUGGUGGCAGAUUUGGAUAGGAAAGUAAGACGUGGGAGAGAGCGGCUGGACCAGGAGGUUGAACCUCCACCUCCCCCUCCUAUUUCUGCAGAAAAAGCUGAGCAGCUCUCUGUACUUGAAGAGAAAAUAAAAAAUUUGCUUGAACAAGUAGAGUCACUGGGAGAAGCUGGCAAAGUCGAUGAAGCAGAAGCACUCAUGCGAAAGGUGGAAAGUCUUAAUUUAGAGAAAGCUGCAUUAACUCAACAGCCCCAGAAUGCAGCAACAAUGCUUACCCAGGAGAAAAAGAUGGCACUAUGUGAAAUUUGCGGUUCCUUCCUGGUAGCCAAUGAUGCUGUGGAAAGAACUCAAUCUCAUAUAACUGGCAAGCAGCAUAUUGGCUAUGGCAUGGUCCGUGAUUACCUUGCUGAGUAUAAGGAGGCUAAGGAGAAGGCAAGAGAAGAGGAAAGAUUAGCAAGGGAGAAAGAAGCAGAAGAACGUCGGAAGCAGAGGGAAAAGGAAAAUGAGAGUAAAAACAGAAGAAGCAUCUCCAGUGAGAGGGACCGUCAUCGUGAUAGGGAUUAUGGCCGAGAUCGUGAAAGAUCACGAGAAUGGAACAAUAGGGGGAAUCGAGACGAGGGAAGAGGAAUGGAUCGGAGAAGGCAAUAUGAUCGCAAUGGAAGGGAUGGAGGGAGGAGUACGUAUCAUGGUCGUGAACGUGAAAGGAGCAGGUCACGGUCCCCUGUUAGGCAUGGCCACCGGAGGUGAUCUAAGAGUGCUGGUUGCCGAUAUUAGUAGGCAGUGGGUUGUGUAGAUAAACGAUGAUCUUAAACCUACUGAGUGUUGAGACUAUACUCUCUCCUCUCAUCAAUCUUGUUAGAGGUCAAAGAGAUUGAGGUGCUAAUUACAAUUGACCUAAGAAAAUCUGCAUUAAUAAAUGCUUCUUUUGAGACUUAGUGUAUGAACACUAUCCUGGCUGGUGAAGACGGAUGAUGAUGGUGUUGGGUUUUGACAUUUCCAUCAAUUGUAAUUGCUUCUCUUAAGCUGAACGGAUACUUUUCCUGCUUUUCUUCCCUCGCCGAGAUACUGCAAGUGCAGUCCAACUCGUGAUUCUUCAGACUUUGCAGUUUGACAUCAGAAACUGGGCAUACUUCCCGUCCGCUUCUAGUGUGGGUAACUUUUCUUUGUGCUAUUCUUGUUAGGUAGCUUGAUUUAAUUUCCCAUCAUCUCUCCAUAACAGUGUCAGACUUCAUCUGAUGCUGUUAAAUGGAUAUGGAAGCUAGGCAUGAUUGUUUAAAAGUAACAGCAAAACACGCAAAAGCUUGACAUAUGAAUGUUAAUUGUUAUUUAGUUUCUCUUCAGUCACUUCUGAAGAGCCCGAGUAACAUUUCAAUGAGGGUUUUUUCAGAAUACAACUUCACUUUGUGUGGACGCACAGAAGUCUUGCAAACAUUACAAAAUGGUAAAUGUGGGGACAUAUGCAAAUACCAGAGGUAACCUAGACUUAAAAAACUCCCAUUUGUUUCUAUUGGAAAAUUCGACCAGAUAAUCAUCAGUUUGCGUCAUAUAAAGUUCCAAAAUUUGACGAACUCCUGUAAUAUUCAUAAGUUUGGCAUGUUAUCAACAUGGGUGAUAUAAUAAUGAACGGCUUUGAACUUUGUUAGCACUUUUCCAUCAAUUCAAACAUGCCCUUUUGUUCCCAUGUGACAGCUUUGUUGGUAGAGGGAUGAGCCACAAGGAUUCACCAAAGAAGGGUUUCUUUUAGGGAAAGUAAUGAAAAACAAACUCUGCCAUCAACCUGUUUACAAAUGCAACAACUUGUGAUUAUUUUGAUAGUUUGUCGAACUAUAGUUUAUUUUUAGUUUAUGUUUCAAACUUGGGAUUAUUUCUGUCAAAAUUUCCUACUCUUUAGGGUACCAUUCAGUCGCAAGAAAGGUGGAGCUCGAUUCAGGUAUCGUGCGUGUCUAUGUGCUGGGUUCAUGCCAAGUUUUCUUUGUUGGUCUUAGAACUCCCAAGUAUCCUUGGGUAUUUUGUAAUCAUGUGAACUUGGAUCGGCCACUGAUUGAUGCCUGGAUGUAGUUGGUUAUAGACUUUGGAUAGUGUAUCUCUUUAAGAUGAAAUAAAUUCUUUACUCGUUUAGUGUGUUA